UGCGUAGGCGGGCUAAUAAGUCAGUGGUGAAAUCUCUCGGCUCAACCGGGAAACUGCCAUUGAUACUGUUAGUCUUGAGUUCGGUUGAGGUAGGCGGAAUGUGUAAUGUAGCGGUGAAGUGCUUAGAUAUUACACAGAACACCAAUUGCGUAGGCAGCUUACUAGACCGACACUGACGCUGAGGCACGAAAGCGUGGGGAGCGAACAGGAUUAGAUACCCUGGUAGUCC
rnacentral:rRNA from 1 species